GACGAACGCUGGCGGCGUGCUUAACACAUGCAAGUCGAACGGAAAGGCCCUGCUUGUGUGGGGUGCUCGAGUGGCGAACGGGUGAGUAACACGUGAGUAACCUGCCCUUGACUUUGGGAUAACUUCAGGAAACUGGGGCUAAUACCGGAUCGGAGCUCCUGCUGCAUGGUGGGGGCUGGAAAGUUUCGGCGGUUGGGGAUGGACUCGCGGCUUAUCAGCUUGUUGGUGGGGUAGUGGCUUACCAAGGCUUUGACGGGUAGCCGGCCUGGGAGGGUGACCGGCCACAUUGGGACUGCGAUACGGACCAGACUCCAACGGGAGGCAGCAGUGGGGAAUAUUGCACAAUGAGCGGACGCCUGAUGCAGCAACGCCGCGUGCGGGAUGACGGCCUGCGGGUUGUGAACCGCUUUCGCCUGUGACGAAGCGUGAGUGACGGUAAUGGGUAAAGAAGCACCGGCUAACUACGUG
rnacentral:rRNA from 1 species